AGUUGACAUUCCUUUUUUCUUUGAUAUGUUCUUCUGUCCUACACUUGGAUGUGCUUAUUUUCAUAUUUUGUCAUUUUGCUCACGAGUAUAAUUCAUUGGCUGAUCCCUCCUGAUGACUUGGAUUGAAUUAUGUGAUCCUUCCUUAACGCAUCGGAAGUUCCACCCAGUAGACAAAAUGAUGAAAGUCUUCAAUGACGCUGCCAAUGCUUAAACAGGCUUUUGGGGGAGGAAACCAUAAAAGGAAUCAAAUAGAUUACCAUGCAAAGGUAAUUGAAAACAAGUAUACUUUCUUUAAGCCUGUGCAGUUUUAAAGCAUUUAGCCUAUAAAUCAUUUCUUAAGGUUUAUCUUAAAACUCCCUAGCGUAGGGAUGGAGAGGAGACGGUGGACCGGACAACCAUCAACUCUGGAGAGAGCAACUCAACAGGAAACGAGAAUACACAGGAAGCUUCAGCGGCAGGAAGUGACACAACGCCAGCAGAGUCUUUGCGGUCAUGGCAGGAUUGGUGGAUGGCUGCCUAUGUAAUGUGAUAAUGAUGAUAAAGGUGAUGAGGACAACCCAAGGCAAAAUCACUGGAGAGAAGGAUGUCCUUUCACCCAGCAGAGGAGCCAGCCGACAAUGUUCCAAUCUCAUAAUUUAAAGUUCCCAUAAAAAUAACACCAAAAUCAACCUCGCCUUGUGAGUUUGACGGCUGUGGGAAAGUCUUCUCCUCUCGGCAGUACCUCAGUGUCCAGCAGCAUAGCUGAAGAUGACCGCUCACUAUCUACUUAUUACAGGUAAGGCAAGGUAAAAUACACUAAACUCCAUUCUAUCUUAUCGCACCUUUUGUUCAGCAUCAUAUGAAGUACUCCCUGUAGGGCCCUGUGUUUCUUCAGUCACAUGGUCAAGACGAACUCUGGCUUUUGUCUUGAGAGCAGAGGGACAUCUGUGAGUUCUGUGACCGGGUGUUCCACACCAAUAGUCGCUUUCUCAUCCACUGCCGCAGAGACAAGCCUGUUCAGUGUGAGGUGUGUGGCUCCACCUGCUGUCAGAAGGCCUCACUUCAACUGGCACAUGAAAAGGAACAACAUUGACGACAGCUACCAGUUCCCCUGCAAGGUCUGUGGCUGGUACUUGGAUAAGAGUUACAACCUGACCGCUCACCAUCGCAAGGUCUGUGGCCGGUACUUGGAGAAGAGUUACAACCGCAAAAGCCACCCUAACCCUGACUAGACCUUGAGCUUAACCAUCACACCCCCGACACUGAAUCACCCCUCACUGCUACCCCAGACCAUGUCCCAGCACAGCAGUGACACCACAGCCAACUGCUUUAUCCUUGGAGUGACAUGAAACAACAAGGCUGUAUUUUUCUCCACAUUUACACCUGUAGAGAUGUGUGGCAUGUCAGGGUCCCUUUAUUGACUGUAAAUAAUGGUCCUUUGGUCUUUUGUGACCCAAUUGGCCAGCAGGUCAGUUUCUCUAUGCAGUCCAUGGACAAUGUUCAUACUGAAGACAAGCAGUCUCUUUCAUUAUUAUAUGUGUUUUGGUAAAGAAUGAUUUUUUUUAUUGAAAUAGGCAAGUCAGUUAAGAACAAAUUCUUAUUUUCAAUGACAGCCUAGGAACAGUGGAUUAACUGCCUUGUUCAGAAGAACAGAUUUUCACCUUGUCAGCUCAGGGAUUUGAUCUUGCAACCUUUUGGUCCAACACUCUAACCACUAGGCUACCUACUGCCCCAGGAAGACCAUCUUUGGGUUUUGCAUUUGUAUAAAUCUUUUACUAUGCAGCUUUAUUGAUGAGGAAUGUAUGUCGAAUGGAGGGGGAAAAUAAAACGUUUGUUACAUUUUGUUAUAUGACCAUGCACCACCUUGAAAGACAAAUGACAUUACACAUUUUAUCUAUGAGGAAAUUUGAAUAAAUUAUUAUACCCCCUUUAA